UACGGAGGGUGCAAGCGUUAUCCGGAUUCACUGGGUUUAAAGGGUGCGUAGGCGGGCAGGUAAGUCAGUGGUGAAAUCUCCGAGCUUAACUCGGAAACUGCCGUUGAUACUAUUUGUCUUGAAUAUUGUGGAGGUAAGCGGAAUAUGUCAUGUAGCGGUGAAAUGCUUAGAUAUGACAUAGAACACCAAUUGCGAAGGCAGCUUACUACACAACGAUUGACGCUGAGGCACGAAAGCGUGGGAAUCAAACAGG
rnacentral:rRNA from 1 species